rnacentral:rRNA from 1 species
UACGGAGGGUGCAAGCGUUGUCCGGAUUCAUUGGGUUUAAAGGGUGCGUAGGCGGUUUGUUAAGUCGGAUGUGAAAUCCCUCGGCUCAACUGAGGAAGUGCAUCCGAAACUGGCAAGCUUGAGUACGAAAGAGGGUCGCGGAAUUCCCGGUGUAGAGGUGAAAUUCGUAGAUAUCGGGAGGAACACCGGUGGCGAAGGCGGCGACCUGGGUCGAUACUGACGCUGAGGUGCGAAAGCGUGGGGAGCAAACAGG